rnacentral:rRNA from 1 species
UACAGAGGGUGCGAGCGUUGUCCGGAAUCACUGGGCGUAAAGGGCGCGUAGGUGGCGACCCAAGUCGAUGGUGAAAGCUCGCCGCUCAACGGCGAGUCGGCCACCGAUACUGGGUUGCUGGAGCACUGUAGAGGCAGAUGGAAUUCCGGGUGUAGCGGUGGAAUGCGUAGAGAUCCGGAAGAACACCGGUGGCGAAGGCGGCGACCUGGGUAGAUACUGACGCUGAGGUGCGAAAGCGUGGGGAGCAAACAGG